rnacentral:tRNA from 1 species
GUCCCUGUAGCUUAAACAAAGCAUGACACUGAAGAUGUCAAGAUGGAUGUUACAUGCACCCAAGGACA